GUUUCUGACCUAUCAGCUUUCGACGGUAUGGUAUUGGCUUACCGUGGCAGUGACGGUUAACGGGGGAUUAGGGUUCGAUUCCGGAGAGGGAGCCUGAGAAACGGCUACCACAUCUAAGGAAGGCAGCAGGCGCGCAAAUUACCCAAUUCUAACAGCAUAAGAGAGGUAGUGACAAGAAAUAACAAUACAAGGUAAUUAAAUUGCUUUGUAAUUGGAAUGAUAGAAAUUUAAACACUUUUUAAAGUAUCAAUUGGAGGGCAAGUCUGGUGCCAGCAGCCGCGGUAAUUCCAGCUCCAAUAGCGUAUAUUAAAAUUGUUGCAGUUAAAAAGCUCGUAGUUGAAUUUCUGUUAAAAAUAACCGGUCUGCUUUUAUUAAAAGUGGUAUCUUGGUGUGUUUUUAGCAAUAAUGUCCUUUGAAAUGUUUUUUACUUUAUUGUAAUAAGUCAUUAUUUUGAGGAUUUUUACUUUGAGAAAAUUAGAGUGUUUCUAGCAGGCUUACGCUUUUGAAUACUGCAGCAUGGAAUAAUAAGAUAGGAUUUUAGUUCUACAUUAUUGGUUUUAAGAACUAAAUUAAUGAUUGAUAGGGAUAGUUGGGGGCAUUUGUAUUUAACUGUCAGAGGUGAAAUUCUU
rnacentral:rRNA from 1 species